UACGUAGGUGGCGAGCGUUAUCCGGAAUGAUUGGGCGUAAAGGGUGCGUAGGUGGCAGAUCAAGUCUGGAGUAAAAGGUAUGGGCUCAACCCGUACUGGCUCUGGAAACUGAUUGGCUAGAGAACAGAAGAGGACGGCGGAACUCCAUGUGUAGCGGUAAAAUGCGUAGAUAUAUGGAAGAACACCGGUGGCGAAGGCGGCCGUCUGGUCUGGAUUCUGACACUGAAGCACGAAAGCGUGGGGAGCAAAUAGG
rnacentral:rRNA from 1 species